AGAGUUUGAUCAUGGCUCAGGAUGAACGCUAGCUACAGGCUUAACACAUGCAAGGUCGAGGGGAAACGAUAUUGGAAGCUUUGCUUCCGAUAGGCGUCGACCGGCGUACGGGUGAGUAACGCGUAUCCAACCUGCCCACCACUUGGGGAUAACCUUGCGGAAGUAAGACUAAUACCCAAUGACGUCUCUAGAAGACAUCUGAAAGAGAUUAAAGAUUUAUCGGUGAUGGAUGGGGAUGCGUCUGAUUAGCUUGUUGGCGGGGUAACGGCCCACCAAGGCGACGAUCAGUAGGGGUUCUGAGAGGAAGGCCCCCCACAUUGGAACUGAGACACGGUCCAAAAUCCUACGGGAGGCAGCA
rnacentral:rRNA from 1 species